rnacentral:rRNA from 1 species
GACGAACGCUGGCGGCGUGCUUAACACAUGCAAGUCGAACGGUGAAGCGCCUUCCUUUUUGGUGGGUGUGGAUGAGUGGCGAACGGGUGAGUAACACGUGAGUAACCUGCCCCCUUCUUCUGGAUAACCGCAUGAAAGUGUGGCUAAUACGGGAUAUUCUGGGUCUGUCGCAUGAUGGGUCUGGGAAAGAUAUUGUUUCGGUGGGGGAUGGGCUCGCGGCCUAUCAGCUUGUUGGUGGGGUGAUGGCCUACCAAGGCGGUGACGGGUAGCCGGCCUGAGAGGGUUGACGGUCACACUGGGACGGAGACACGGCCCAGACUCCUACGGGAGGCAGCAGUGGGGAAUAGUGCACAAUGGGCGGAAGGCUGAUGCAGCGACGCCGCGUGAGGGAUGGAGGCCUUCGGGUUGUGAACCUCUUUCGCCAGUGAAGCAGGCCUGCCUCGUUUGUGGGUGGGUCGACGGUAGCUGGAGAAGAAGCGCCGGCUAACUACGUG